AAUCAGCUAUUCUUUCUUCUUCAUCUUUUGCCCAUAACAGAUGCGAGAGUCUCACUCACUCCAUAGAAACGCUUCAGUCUCCUUCCUUUCCAUCUAUGUUGUUCAAAAUCCAAAUGGGUUUUCAGGAAAUGAAGUUCUGGCAAUGAUUUCCUAGCUUUCCUGACAUUCAAAAAUGCUUUCUUUAAGGGAUUUUUGGAGAAGGCAUAGAAGGAAGGCUUUUGUUGUUGCUGGAGCUUUGGGAAGUGGGUAUUUUUUGUAUAGGAUUUAUGCUUCUCAUACGCAGAGAAUUUCUGAUUUGGAGACUCAAAUCGACAGCUAGCAUGAAAUCGAUGAGCUCAUUAAGGCCCAAUUAAGAUCAAAAUAUUAUAUAUCCUGUUGAAAUUCCAUUUUUCAUUCAUUUUUCAGCAAUGCUACUAUGAUGCAUUCAGUUCAUUUAGUUUUGUGAAGUGUGCCACCUGACAUCACUGUACACGUGGCACUUGGGAUGGUGAUUUACAUUGUUGGUUUGGUGCAUCAUCAUACGGAUGCACCAUAACCAGAAAAUCAAGAUGGGCCUAAUUUGUAGAAUCCCCCAUCAGGAGUAGGGAACAUAAGAUCAACGGUCUAGAUCACCAUACCAGGGGCCUAAUUUGUAGAAAUGGUUUGAUUGAAGCAUAGGCAUAGAAAUCAGGCCCAAGCCUUUCCAAUAUUGGGCCAUGCCAAAAUCCUGAUGGGUCAACUGUCCCUACCCGUUUUACCGGUCAGACCGUAACUCGUGUCCAUGCCCAUCAAAGUUUUAAGACUAGGUUGAGUGUCUUUGUGUGCAUUCUUUUAUUUGGGGCUGACCUUAACUCAUGCUCCUAACCAGCAUUGCUCAGUCAGUGAAUGUGGAUGGUCCAUCUGGUGGGCCACGCUGUUGAUGAGCUGUGGCAGAAAAAAAAAAAAAAAAGAAAAAAAAAACAUGCCUAGCCAUCAAGCACACGAACACUGAAAAUAGAAAAUGUAGGAUUCAUCAUUUUCAUAUUUCCUUUGUUUCGUGGGCCACUCUUGAUAGGCCCAGUAAAUGAACCAUCUAGAUUCAAGGACCCUACUCCAAUGUAGAAUUUGAAAUGGUGACUAAAUGGGAAGAUCUUAUUGUUGUUUCAUUUAGAGCCAUGCUAAUCAACCAUACACGUGGAAAAAGUGGGCCAUGUACACACUGAUUGGGCCACCCAACAAAAGCAACGGCUGCUAAUGAUAUUUUGGGCAAUAAGGAAUCCACCAUUGAUCCGUUGGCAUAUGAAUUAGAUAUCAUGUCAUGAAGUGGGCCCAUUUCACGUUUGUUGGCUGUUGCUGAAUAGGGGGAACAUUUGGAUGCUAGCACGAAAUUGCUGAGGCUAUUGUGGCACGAAAGGGCCCUCCUAUCAAUGGUCAGUCUACUGUUCAGCUCCAAACAAGCUAUUGAUUGUUGUGCAUCCAAUGAAUGCUUUCUUUCUGGACAGUAUUUUCAAUUGGAUCACCCUAUAAUACCAUUAAUUGGAUCAAGUGAGUUUCUUUUGAGUGUCAAGGAGAACAUGAAGAGGCCCAAAGGUCAUUAAUGAAGCUCUCAUAUGUGGGAACAUAGUCAAGUUUGUGCACCGAAAGGCCCUCAAGGAUUUUAGAUUUAAAGCUUUCUUCGGCCAUUGAAGAAAGAGAGAGACUAAGAAAGGAUGUUAUUGCAUGGAAGAAGUAGAAGAGUGGGGAAGCAGAGGGUGGAAA